GGCAUCAUGGCAGAGUUUGGUUUAUUGCGAAUGGCCUGAACCCAUUUGUGCCGUAAGGCACCGGAGGUUCGAAUCCUCCUGAUGUCG
rnacentral:tRNA from 1 species